rnacentral:rRNA from 1 species
GACGAACGCUGGCGGCGUGCUUAACACAUGCAAGUCGAGCGGUAAGGCCCUUUCGGGGGUACACGAGCGGCGAACGGGUGAGUAACACGUGGGUGACCUGCCCUUAGCUCUGGGAUAAGCCUGGGAAACUGGGUCUAAUACCGGAUAUGACUCCAUGACGCAUGUUGUGGGGUGGAAAGCCUUGUGCGGCUAGGGAUGGGCCCGCGGCCUAUCAGCUUGUUGGUGGGGUGANGGCCUACCAAGGCGACGACGGGUAGCCGGCCUGAGAGGGCGACCGGCCACACUGGGACUGAGACACGGCCCAGACUCCUACGGGAGGGCAGCAGUGGGGAAUCUUGCGCAAUGGGCGAAAGCCUGACGCAGCGACGCCGCGUGGGGAUGACGGCC